AGCGAACGUUUGCGGCGGGCUUAACACAUGCAAGUCGAACGAGAAUCCCUUCGGGGAGGAAAGUGGCGCACGGGUGCGUAACACGUGGAUAACCAACCCAUUGGUUUGGGACAACACCGGGAAACUGGUGCUAAUACCAGAUGUGUCGCAGCUGUCUUCAGGCGGUUGCGAGAAAGGCCCGCAAGGGUCGCCAACGGGACGGGUCCGCGUCCCAUCAGCUAGUUGGUGAGGUAAUGGGCUCACCAAGGCAAAGACGGGUAGCUGGUCUGAGAGGAUGAUCAGCCACACUGGAACUGAGACACGGUCCAGACU
rnacentral:rRNA from 1 species